GGGCCCAUAGCUCAGUGGCAGAGCAGGCGGCUCAUAACCGCUCGGUCGUUGGUUCGAACCCAACUGGGCCCA
rnacentral:tRNA from 1 species